CGGAUCCUGUGCGUUCUGUGUUCCGUGCAGCCGUGGCGGAGAGAAUUGUUUCCGCCCCUGACAGAUGCUUAGUGAGAAAGCCGAGCUUCUGGAGGAAGGGCCUUACCCGUAUUCACUCGGCGAAAAACUCUCCCAAGACCAGCGCGCCCCCACACGGCUCGGCGGAGGGACGGCCCCUUUGGGGACUUUCCUCCGCCUGGGGGCCCCGCGGCUGGUCUUCCAGAAAUACCCCCUUUCACAGAUGGGGAAGAUGAAACCCAGAGAGAGACAGGCAAAUGGAACAUGAAACCUUUGAAAGGCUCGGUGAGAAAUCUGUUCAAACCCCCUCCCAGCUGCUGUCACUUGAAAAGCCACAGAAGCGUCUCCCGAGCGAACCUGCCUCAGACAAGAUCCCAAAAAUCUUUGGAAUUCCCUAAGUGAGGAGAGCAACAAAGACCUGCAGGGAGACUAAGGGUGCGGGUCUCCUCAGGACCUCGCAGACACUCAUCUCUGUGCUCUUGAUCUUUGGUAUGUAUCUCCAAAGCCAUGUCAGAUACUCAGUUACCCCUGUGUUGGGCCAGGUCUUAGCCGAGUGUUAGGUUCACAUGGAGACCCUCACCAGUCAGGAGCUGCAGCUCCAGGGCUGAAAUGUGGCAGGCAGCUCUGACCCCGACCUCAACCCCUAACAGCUCACUCCUCCUCAUGACACCAGGUGUGGCGGUCUACGCAGAGAAAAGAGAUGAGUUGCAGAAGCUGGGAGCCAGUGGGAGAGGCUGCAGCCAGGACUGAAGAGGGCAUGGGGUCAUCAGUGUAAGGUCUAGCCCAGGCUGCUUUGUGAAUUGAACUGCUAGAUUCCACUGAAGUAUUAAAAAAAAAAAAAACCUCAGUAUUUAUUUGCUUCAUAUUUACAAAGGGGGGAAGGAGACCGAGGGAGACCCUAAGAGCACCCCUACACCUGGCUGACCAGGCCCCUUGCGCUGCAGAGGAGGCAGACACCGCUGGAAGGGACAGGAUUUAUGUUGCAUACUUGAACUACAGCGAGUGUAAGACUGGUCCUAUUUACAGGGCAGAAACACGACAGGUGGGGCAUGGAGGCGGCGGAGGGAGCCCCAGAGUCCUGGCCAGAGGGUGCCCUGCUCGCCGCCUUCCCCAAGUCUCCCAGAGGCAUCUCUGCGGCCCCGCUGGAGUUCUCCGGGGGUGGGGGUGAGGAGGAACGGGGUCCGCUCACAUGAUGCUCGCCGGGGUGAAGACAGGGCCCAUGCACAAGGUGUCUGUGAUCUCCCAGCCACAGGACAGAGGCUUGCACAUGUCCUCGGUGUCCUCGUCCUGUUCUGCAGGCAGCAGCUGCCCUCGAAGUGCUUCCCUGCAGGAAGAGAGGGGCACUGGAGGCAGCCAGCAUGGGGCCCACAGGCCAGAGGCUCCCAAAGGCCCCUGCACCAGAAGAUCUAGCCCCCUCAGUAUAGGGUUCCCACCUAGGCCCCAGAGCCCAGCCUAGGACAGGAGUAGGGCAGGUGUGCUGAACUCUCCCCCCACUGCUCUCUUUUCCCCCGUGGUCCAUCUCCACAGCAAGGGAAAAGGAGCCUACAUUUAUUGAGCACUUAAUAAUGCCAGACAUUGUGCCAGGCACUUUACUUACAGUGUCUAAUUGUAUCCUCCCCAAAUCCUAUAAGGGCAGCAUUAUUAUCCCCAUUUUACCAGUAAGGAAGUUGAGACCCAGAGAGAAAUGACCCCCACAAGGCCACAUCCUUAGAAGGUGGUAGAACUAGGAUUCAACCCAACUCUCUCAGUUUAAAUCCCACAAUCUUUAUAGUCCAGGCAUAGGACUUUUAAAAAAAAUCGUCUCCUGCCCCUCUCAAAAACCCUACAAACCUACCUACCCAGGUUGAUAAAUGGCUCUACCAUCUGACCGGCUGCUCAGCCACAAGUUGGGAAUCUGGUCCUCGUGCCCAGUCCAUCCCUGCCGAACCCAGCUCCAGAACUCCCUCAUGGGCACCUGCUUCUCUCCAUUCCCAGUUCUACCACCAUCUCUAGCCAGGGCUGCACAGCCUCCCUGCUCUGCCCCUGCUGCCACACAAUUCUGGCCCAGGUUCAUCUUUCCAGGAGAUUCGUCCAGUUUCUUAAAAAGCAUCAAUGGCUCUCUACUGCCUUCAAGAUCAGGUCCAACCUAGAGCUGCAAGGUCCUUCUCCAUCCAGUCUUCCGCACAGGCCACUCCAGUCAGGCACAGCUACUUGCAGUUCUGUGAAUGGACUGGUCUCCAGCCCCCACCUCUCUCGGCCCAGACUGCUCCCCAUCAGCUUUCCUGUGCCCGGCUACCUCCUCCGUACCCGUCAGCCUUACCACCCCUCUUCAGUCUGCCCUCUCACUCCCCAGUGACCUUUCUGUCCUCUGCGCCAGUGUCCCUAUGUGCAGGUCACCGUGCUGUCUAGGGUGCUCUUCUCCCCCCAGGACCCAGCACAGAGCCAGGCUCAAAAGCAGGAUGUUUUGCUGGGACUCCUUUGAUAUGGGGGAUUUUUCGGCAUGGCCAUUUUAAUACAUCGAAAUUUUUUGUUUCUAGUAAUAAAUAAACUGACU